rnacentral:rRNA from 1 species
UGAUAGUCGGGCUGAAGACUCUACUUGACUAGCUGAGAGGAGGUGCAUGGCCGUCGUCAGUUCGUACUGUGAAGCAUCCUGUUAAGUCAGGCAACGAGCGAGACCCACGCCAACAGUUGCCAGCUCGUCCUCCGGGAUGGUGGGGACACUGUUGGGACCGCCUCUGCUAAAGAGGAGGAAGGAAUGGGCAACGGUAGGUCAGCAUGCCCCGAAUUAUCUGGGCUACACGCGGGCUACAAUGGGUGGGACAAUGGGUAUCGACACCGAAAGGUGAAGGCAAUCUCCUAAACCCAUCCGUAGUUCGGAUUGUGGGCUGCAACUCGCCCACAUGAAGCUGGAAUCUGUAGUAAUCGUGUCUCAAAAUGGCACGGUGAAUAUGUCCCUGCUCCUU